rnacentral:rRNA from 2 species
GAAAGGCCAAUCAAACCGGGAGAUAGCUGGUUCUCCCCGAAAGCUAUUUAGGUAGCGCCUCGUGAACUCAUCUUCGGGGGUAGAGCACUGUUUCGGCUAGGGGGUCAUCCCGACUUACCAACCCGAUGCAAACUACGAAUACCGAAGAAUGUUAUCACGGGAGACACACGGCGGGUGCUAACGUCCGUCGUGAAGAGGGAAACAACCCAGACCGCCAGCUAAGGUCCCAAAGUCAUGGUUAAGUGGGAAACGAUGUGGGAAGGCACAGACAGCCAGGAUGUUGGCUUAGAAGCAGCCAUCAUUUAAAGAAAGCGUAAUAGCUCACUGGUCGAGUCGGCCUGCGCGGAAGAUGUAACGGGGCUAAACCAUGCACCGAAGCUGCGGCAGCGACACUAUGUGUUGUUGGGUAGGGGAGCGUUCUGUAAGCCUGCGAAGGUGUGCUGUGAGGCAUGCUGGAGGUAUCAGAAGUGCGAAUGCUGACAUAAGUAACGAUAAAGCGGGUGAAAAGCCCGCUCGCCGGAAGACCAAGGGUUCCUGUCCAACGUUAAUCGGGGCAGGGUGAGUCGACCCCUAAGGCGAGGCCGAAAGGCGUAGUCGAUGGGAAACAGGUUAAUAUUCCUGUACUUGGUGUUACUGCGAAGGGGGGACGGAGAAGGCUAUGUUAGCCGGGCGACGGUUGUCCCGGUUUAAGCAUGUAGGCUGAUUGUCCAGGCAAAUCCGGAUAAUCAAGGCUGAGGUGUGAUGACGAGGCACUACGGUGCUGAAGUAACAAAUGCCCUGCUUCCAGGAAAAGCCUCUAAGCAUCAGGUAACAUUAAAUCGUACCCCAAACCGACACAGGUGGUCAGGUAGAGAAUACCAAGGCGCUUGAGAGAACUCGGGUGAAGGAACUAGGCAAAAUGGUGCCGUAACUUCGGGAGAAGGCACGCUGGUGUGUAGGUGAAGUCCCUGCGGAUGGAGCUGAGACCAGUCGAAGAUACCAGCUGGCUGCAACUGUUUAUUAAAAACACAGCACUGUGCAAACACGAAAGUGGACGUAUACGGUGUGACGCCUGCCCGGUGCCGGAAGGUUAAUUGAUGGGGUUAUCCGUAAGGAGAAGCUCUUGAUCGAAGCCCCGGUAAACGGCGGCCGUAACUAUAACGGUCCUAAGGUAGCGAAAUUCCUUGUCGGGUAAGUUCCGACCUGCACGAAUGGCGUAAUGAUGGCCAGGCUGUCUCCACCCGAGACUCAGUGAAAUUGAACUCGCUGUGAAGAUGCAGUGUACCCGCGGCAAGACGGAAAGACCCCGUGAACCUUUACUAUAGCUUGACACUGAACAUUGAGCCUUGAUGUGUAGGAUAGGUGGGAGGCUUUGAAGCGUGGACGCCAGUCUGCGUGGAGCCAACCUUGAAAUACCACCCUUUAAUGUUUGAUGUUCUAACGUUGGCCCCUGACCGGGGUUGCGGACAGUGUCUGGUGGGUAGUUUGACUGGGGCGGUCUCCUCCCAAAGCGUAACGGAGGAGCACGAAGGUUAGCUAAUCCUGGUCGGACAUCAGGAGGUUAGUGCAAUGGCAUAAGCUAGCUUGACUGCGAGCGUGACGGCGCGAGCAGGUGCGAAAGCAGGUCAUAGUGAUCCGGUGGUUCUGAAUGGAAGGGCCAUCGCUCAACGGAUAAAAGGUACUCCGGGGAUAACAGGCUGAUACCGCCCAAGAGUUCAUAUCGACGGCGGUGUUUGGCACCUCGAUGUCGGCUCAUCACAUCCUGGGGCUGAAGUAGGUCCCAAGGGUAUGGCUGUUCGCCAUUUAAAGUGGUACGCGAGCUGGGUUUAGAACGUCGUGAGACAGUUCGGUCCCUAUCUGCCGUGGGCGCUGGAGAAUUGAGGGGGGCUGCUCCUAGUACGAGAGGACCGGAGUGGACGCAUCACUGGUGUUCGGGUUGUCAUGCCAAUGGCACUGCCCGGUAGCUAAAUGCGGAAGAGAUAAGUGCUGAAAGCAUCUAAGCACGAAACUUGCCCCGAGAUGAGUUCUCCCUGAGACUUUAAGUCUCCUGAAGGAACGUUGAAGACGACGACGUUGAUAGGCCGGGUGUGUAAGCGCAGCGAUGCGUUGAGCUAACCGGUACUAAUGAACCGUGAGGCUUAACCUU